AUACGGAGGGCACGAGCGUUGUUCGGAUUUAUUGGGCGUAAAGCGAGUGUAGGCGGUUUGACAAGUCGGAUGUGAAAUCCCAGGGCCCAACCCUGGAACUGCAUCCGAUACUGUUAGGCUAGAGUCCCGGAGAGGGUGGCGGAAUUCCCGGUGUAGGGGUGAAAUCCGUAGAUAUCGGGAGGAACACCAGUGGCGAAGGCGGCCACCUGGACGGUGACUGACGCUGAGACUCGAAAGCGUGGGUAGCAAACAGGAUUAGAAACCCGGGUAGUCC
rnacentral:rRNA from 1 species